UACAGAGGUGGCAAGCGUUGUUCGGAAUUACUGGGCGUAAAGGGCGCGUAGGCGGCCAUCUAAGUCAGACGUGAAAUCCCCCGGCUUAACCUGGGAACUGCGUCUGAUACUGGACGGCUUGAGUAUGGGAGAGGGAUGUAGAAUUCCUGGUGUAGCGGUGAAAUGCGCAGAUAUCAGGAGGAACACCGGUGGCGAAGGCGGAUCUCUGGGCCUUACCUGACGCUCAGGUGCGAAAGCUAGGGGAGCGAACAGG
rnacentral:rRNA from 1 species